GACGAACGCUGGCGGCGUGCUUAACACAUGCAAGUCGAGCGGUAAGGCCCUUUCGGGGGUACACGAGCGGCGAACGGGUGAGUAACACGUGGGUGACCUGCCCUCAGCUCUGGGAUAAGCCUGGGAAACCGGGUCUAAUACUGGAUAUGACUCCAUGACGCAUGUUGUGGGGUGGAAAGCCUUGUGCGGCUGAGGAUGGGCCCGCGGCCUAUCAGCUUGUUGGGGGGUGAUGGCCUACCAAGGCGACGACGGGUAGUCGGCCUGAGAGGGCGACCGGCCACACUGGGACUGAGACACGGCCCAGACUCCUACGGGAGGCAGCAGUGGGGAAUCUUGCGCAAUGGGCGAAAGCCUGACGCAGCGACGCCGCGUGAGGGAUGACGG
rnacentral:rRNA from 1 species